rnacentral:rRNA from 1 species
CCUACGGGAGGCUGCAGUAGGGAAUAUUGCUCAAUGGGGGAAACCCUGAAGCAGCAACGCCGCGUGGAGGAUGAAGGUUUUCGGAUUGUAAACUCCUUUUGUUAGAGAAGAUAAUGACGGUAUCUAACGAAUAAGCACCGGCUAACUCCGUGCCAGCAGCCGCGGUAAUACGGAGGGUGCAAGCGUUACUCGGAAUCACUGGGCGUAAAGAGCGCGUAGGCGGGAUAGCAAGUCAGAUGGGAAAUCCUAGGGCUUAACCAUAGAACUGCAGUUGAAACUGUUAUGCUAGAGUAUGGGAGAGGUAGGUGGAAUGCGUGGUGUAGGGGUAAAAUCCGUAGAGAUCAAGAGGAAUACUCAUUGCGAAGGCGACCUGCUAGAACAUAACUGACGCUGAUGCGCGAAAGCGUGGGGAGCAAACAGGAUUAGAUACCCCAGUAGUC